rnacentral:rRNA from 1 species
UUUCGACGUAGGUAUAAGACGGGGUUGAGUGACGAAAUUGUGUUCGCAUAGCUUUCGCACCCCCUGUUUUAUUUAACCGACGACGAACGCGUGCACUUUUCUCCUGGUAGGACGUCGCAAUCCGUUGGGUGUCGGUCUACGGUUCGCGGUGGAGCCCGUUCUGACAAAUCCAUUGAUGAGCGGACCCGUGUUAUUCCUGACCGACUCGCUCGACGGUAUACAAAUGGUAUGUGGCCGCUUGAUUUAAAGCUUUCGACUCGUGGCAAGCGCACUCGAUGCGUUGGCGGUCGGACCUAGUGCCGAUCCUGACCUCUGGUGACUGUUGGCCACGAUGUUCUCGGAAAGAGCCGAUUACCGAUUUGCGACGCUAUAGCUUUGGGUACUUUCAGGACCCGUCUUGAAACACGGACCAAGGAGUCUAGCAUGUACGCAAGUCAUUGGGAAUCACUAAACCUAAAGGCGCAAUGAAAGUAAAGGUCUUCCUUGCGAGGACCUAGGGAAGAUGUGCGGUUAACCGUUAAAAGUUGCCGCGCCGCAUUCCCGGGGCGUCUCAUUCUCA